GCAGAACUCCUCUGCUCAGUUGGUUAGAGCAUGGUGCUGAUAAUGCCAAGGUUGCAGGUUUGAUCCCCAUAUGGGACAGCUGCA
rnacentral:tRNA from 1 species